UACGUAGGGUGCAAGCGUUGUCCGGAAUUAUUGGGCGUAAAGAGCUCGUAGGCGGUCUGUCGCGUCGAUCGUGAAAACUUGGGGCUUAACCCUGAGCUUGCGGUCGAUACGGGCAUGACUGGAGUUCGGCAGGGGAGACUGGAAUUCCUGGUGUAGCGGUGAAAUGCGCAGAUAUCAGGAGGAACACCGGUGGCGAAGGCGGGUCUCUGGGCCGAUACUGACGCUGAGGAGCGAAAGCGUGGGAGCGAACAGG
rnacentral:rRNA from 1 species